ACACGGAUUAUUUCAACACAAACAUAUACACUGAUCAGUGAUAUAUGUUUGUGUUGAAAUAAUCCGUGUU